CCACCACUAAGCCAGUGGUGAACUCCACAUACGCAUCCUUUGCUGAGGAUACGGUUAACGGAGCGAAAGCGACGUUCAACCGCAAAAGAAGCAGAGGGGGCUUAGUGGUGGGGUGACUGCGUACCUUUUGUAUAAUGGGUCAGCGACUUAUAUUCUGUAGCAAGGUUAACCGAAUAGGGGAGCCGGAGGGAAACCGAGUCUUAACCGGGCGUUAAGUUGCAGGGUAUAGACCCGAAACCCGGUGAUCUAGCCAUGGGCAGGUUGAAGGUUGGGUAACACUAACUGGAGGACCGAACCGACUAAUGUUGAAAAAUUAGCGGAUGACCUGUGGCUGGGGGUGAAAGGCCAAUCAAACCGGGAGAUAGCUGGUUCUCCCCGAAAGCUAUUUAGGUAGCGCCUCGUGAAUUCAUCUCCGGGGGUAGAGCACUGUUUCGGCUAGGGGGCCAUCCCGGCUUACCAACCCGAUGCAAACUGCGAAUACCGGAGAAUGUUAUCACGGGAGACACACGGCGGGUGCUAACGUCCGUCGUGAAGAGGGAAACAACCCAGACCGCCAGCUAAGGUCCCAAAGUCAUGGUUAAGUGGGAAACGAUGUGGGAAGGCCCAGACAGCCAGGAUGUUGGCUUAGAAGCAGCCAUCAUUUAAAGAAAGCGUAAUAGCUCACUGGUCGAGUCGGCCUGCGCGGAAGAUGUAACGGGGCUAAACCAUGCACCGAAGCUGCGGCAGCGACGCUGAUGCGUUGUUGGGUAGGGGAGCGUUCUGUAAGCCUGUGAAGGUGGCCUGUGAGGGUUGCUGGAGGUAUCAGAAGUGCGAAUGCUGACAUAAGUAACGAUAAAGCGGGUGAAAAGCCCGCUCGCCGGAAGACCAAGGGUUCCUGUCCAACGUUAAUCGGGGCAGGGUGAGUCGACCCCUAAGGCGAGGCCGAAAGGCGUAGUCGAUGGGAAACGGGUUAAUAUUCCCGUACUUGGUGUUACUGCGAAGGGGGGACGGAGAAGGCUAUGUUGGCCGGGCGACGGUUGUCCCGGUUUAAGCGUGUAGGUGUGUGUUCCAGGUAAAUCCGGUUCACUUUAACACUGAGGCGUGAUGACGAGGCACUACGGUGCUGAAGCAACAAA
rnacentral:rRNA from 1 species